rnacentral:lncRNA from 1 species
UUCUGGGGCUGCUGAAUUGGUUUUUUCCCUCCCCCUUUUAGACUCAUUUUCUACCAUCACCUUUAAGCAAAUACAAAAGCUGCCAAUGAGGAAAUAAUAACGCACUCUUAGGGAGCCAAAAAAUGGCUUGAAUUGAGUCAACUCUUAUCCAAGGUACCUGCUUUGAACUGCUCAGGUUCUGGCCUUUCACUCACAUCCACUGCCCUGGGCUCUCCAUCCACAAAUAGCAUAUCACUUUAAAUCCCCAGUUCUCUCCCCAUCACAGCCUCUCCACAGGAAUACUUGUGGGACUUAAUGUAAUGUUUGCAAUUAUUU